rnacentral:rRNA from 1 species
AUUGAACGCUGGCGGCAGGCCUAACACAUGCAAGUCGGACGGUAGCACAGAGAGCUUGCUCUCGGGUGACGAGUGGCGGACGGGUGAGUAAUGUCUGGGGAUCUGCCCGAUAGAGGGGGAUAACCAGUGGAAACGGUGGCUAAUACCGCAUAACGUCGCAAGACCAAAGAGGGGGACCUUCGGGCCUCUCACUAUCGGGUGAACCCAGAUGGGAUUAGCUAGUAGGCGGGGUAAUGGCCCACCUAGGCGACGAUCCCUAGCUGGUCUGAGAGGAUGACCAGCCACACUGGAACUGAGACACGGUCCAGACUCCUACGGGAGGCAGCAGUGGGGAAUAUUGCACACUGGGCGCAAGCCUGAUGCAGCCAUGCCGCGUGUAUGAAGAAGGCCUUCGGGUUGUAAAGUACUUUCAGCGGGGAGGAAGGCGGUGCGGUUAAUAACCGCGCCGAUUGACGUUACCCGCAGAAGAAGCACCGGCUAACUCCGUGCCAGCCGCCGCAGUAA